rnacentral:rRNA from 1 species
CUACGGGAGGCACCAGUGAGGAAUAUUGGACAAUGGUCGAAAGACUGAUCCAGCCAUGCCGCGUGCAGGAUGACUGCCCUAUGGGUUGUAAACUGCUUUUAUACGGGAAGAAAAACACCUACGUGUAGGUGACUGACGGUACCGUAAGAAUAAGGACCGGCUAACUCCGUGCCAGCAGCCGCGGUAAUACGGAGGGUCCAAGCGUUAUCCGGAAUCACUGGGUUUAAAGGGUCCGUAGGCGGGCUAUUAAGUCAGAGGUGAAAGUUUGCAGCUCAACUGUAAAAUUGCCUUUGAUACUGAUAGUCUUGAAUUGUAGUGAAGUGGUUAGAAUAUGUGGUGUAGCGGUGAAAUGCAUAGAUAUCACAUAGAAUACCGAUUGCGAAGGCAGAUCACUAACUAUAUAUUGACGCUGAGGGACGAAAGCGUGGGGAGCGAACGGGAUUAGAUACCCGCGUAGUC